rnacentral:rRNA from 1 species
CCUACGGGAGGCAGCAGUGGGGAAUUUUGGACAAUGGGCGCAAGCCUGAUCCAGCAAUGCCGCGUGCAGGAUGAAGGCCUUCGGGUUGUAAACUGCUUUUGUACGGAACGAAACGGCUCUUUCUAAUAAAGAGAGCUAAUGACGGUACCGUAAGAAUAAGCACCGGCUAACUACGUGCCAGCAGCCGCGGUAAUACGUAGGGUGCGAGCGUUAAUCGGAAUUACUGGGCGUAAAGCGUGCGCAGGCGGUUAUAUAAGACAGAUGUGAAAUCCCCGGGCUCAACCUGGGACCUGCAUUUGUGACUGUAUAGCUAGAGUACGGUAGAGGGGGAUGGAAUUCCGCGUGUAGCAGUGAAAUGCGUAGAUAUGCGGAGGAACACCGAUGGCGAAGGCAAUCCCCUGGACCUGUACUGACGCUCAUGUACGAAAGCGUGGGGAGCAAACAGGAUUAGAUACCCUGGUAGUCCACGCCCUAAACGAUGUCAACUGGUUGUUGGGUCUUCACUGACUCAGUAACGAAGCUAACGCGUGAAGUUGACCGCCUGGGGAGUACGGCCGCAAGGUUGAAAACUCAAAAGAGUAAGUUACGGACGNGUAGAGAGCGACCGAGGACACACGGGAGGGUUAGAGG